AAUUUCGUCGGCUCAUGGAUGCGAACCACAGAACCAAGAAAUCAGGACAUACAGCUAAGGGCUUUUAACUGCACGGCCAUCACGAGAGGUCUUACAACCGUGUUGGACACGUCAUUGGCAUGACUGCAGGUGCAUUAUGGUGUAUCGUUAACUGUGCCCCUAGUUCCUUUCAUUUGCUACCGUCACCAUCACCAUCACCACCUGCAUAUGACAACUUCACAGUUGGAGCCUUUCGCUGCUUAAUUUACAAUAAGUUUGCAGAGAAGAAAUAUUUUUAAAUUGGCUCUUUGACUAAGGACCUCAAAAUAGCCGGAUUUAUCCCUGAGGUUACAUAAUCAAGUUCAGUAAUAAUCAAGUUCAGUACUGCGGCUCAUGCAGUGCACAGUUUUCCGCUACAAGACAGAACAAUGUAAAAUCUACAUAAAAAAGGAAUCCCUGGAUGACGUGUACUGGCGGAUCACUGCUUUUCAUGAUCUACAACGCCACUGGGAACAGGGGAGGCAGGUGGUGUAACUAGACGAAUCGUGGUUUACCUCAAGGAUGUCACCAAACAACGAAUGGGAUGACACAACGCUGCCAUCAUUGCCAUUAAAGCAGUUAGGUGCCUCCUGAAGAAGGUGCCAAACACACUGCUACUGCUCAUUUGCCAACAAAAUCGGCCAAAACGAAGGUAUAUGUCUUCCUCCUCCUGGCGAUUCACACGGACUGACCUGCAGGUCAGGUUGCAGGAAGCCAUGCGUUCCACCACCCCAGAAGUGUGGACAGGAGCUGUUAGACAAUCCUGUCAUUUUGAGGAGGAGUACUGGAAGUUGGACAAUAUCCAUGAGCACAUGGAACCAUUCAUCAUUGACACUGCUAGCAACUAUGAGGACGAUGAUGAUGAACUUUUCUUUAAG